GUGUCAGCCGCCGCGGUAAUACGGAGGGUGCGAGCGUUAUCCGGAAUUACUGGGUUUAAAGGGUGCGUAGGCGGCUUGGUAAGUCAGGAGUGAAAGUUUGCGGCUCAACCGUAAAAUUGCUUUUGAUACUGCCAGGCUAGAAUCAGGAUGAGGUCAGCGGAAUGUGGCAUGUAGCGGUGAAAUGCAUAGAUAUGCCAUAGAACACCUAUUGCGAAGGCAGCUGGCUAGACCUGUAUUGACGCUGAGGCACGAAAGCGUGGGGAGCGAACAGGAUUAGAAACCCCCGUAGUCC
rnacentral:rRNA from 1 species